GGUAAUGAAUGAAAUAUUCUCCUGAUAUUAAUUUUGCUCAUAAUAUUCAAUUGGGAAGAAUUGGCAUGCUCUUCUCUGCUUCAAGGACAGAGUCACUGGUUUUUGCUUGCAAUAUGAAGCAUUGUUGGCUUUUAUCAAUCCAUAUUUGUGCUCCCGGUGUUUACCCUUCUAUUUGUGGGCAGAGUAUAAUUCUUGGGAUAUCAUACGUGUUAGAAGUUCAUUUUAAAGAAAAUAUAUGUUAGAAUUCAAUUAGCAAAACUGUUCUACUAUGUGAGGAAUUGGGGUUUUAGAAUUUGAGUGCUCAUGUAUUGUAUACAUGAUAAAAUUAUUAAGAUUGAGAGGGACAA
rnacentral:misc_RNA from 1 species